UACAGAGGGGGCAAGCGUUGUUCGGAAUUAUUGGGCGUAAAGCGCGUGCAGGCGGCGGAUUAAGUCGGAUGUUUAAGAUCGGGGCUCAACCCCGAUUCGCAUCCGAAACUGGUCCGCUUGAGUGUAGGAGAGGAAAGUGGAAUUCCACGUGUAGCGGUGAAAUGCGUAGAGAUGUGGAGGAACACCAGUGGCGAAGGCGACUUUCUGGCCUAUAACUGACGCUGAGGCGCGAAAGCAUGGGGAGCGAACAGG
rnacentral:rRNA from 1 species